UACGUAGGGUGCAAGCGUUGUCCGGAUUCAUUGGGCGUAAAGGGCUCGUAGGCGGCCAACUAAGUCGGACGUGAAAUCCCUCAGCUUAACUGGGGAACUGCGUCCGAUACUGGAUGGCUUGGAUUUGGGAGAGGGAUGCGGAAUUCCAGGUGUAGCGGUGAAAUGCGUAGAUAUCUGGAGGAACACCGGUGGCGAAGGCGGCAUCCUGGACCAAUAUUGACGCUGAGGAGCGAAAGCCAGGGGAGCAAACGGG
rnacentral:rRNA from 1 species